rnacentral:rRNA from 1 species
UACAGAGGGUGCAAGCGUUUAAUCGGAAUUACUGGGCGUAAAGCGUGCGUAGACGGUUACAUAAGUCGGGUGUGAAAGCCCCGGGCUCAACCUGGGAAUUGCAUUCGAGACUGCGUAGCUAGGGUGCGGAAGAGGGAAGCGGAAUUUCCGGUGUAGCGGUGAAAUGCGUAGAUAUCGGAAGGAACACCAGUGGCGAAAGCGGCUUCCUGGUCCAGCACGACGUCAGGCACGAAAGCGUGGGGAGCAAACAGG